UGGGGAAUAUUGCACAACGGGCGGAAGCCUGAUGCAGCAACGCCGCGUGCGGGAUGACGGCCUUCGGGUUGUAAACCGCUUUCGCCUGUGACGAAGCGUGAGUGACGGUAAUGGGUAAAGAAGCACCGGCUAACUACGUGCCAGCAGCCGCGGUGAUACGUAGGGUGCGAGCGUUGUCCGGAUUUAUUGGGCGUAAAGGGCUCGUAGGUGGUUGAUCGCGUCGGAAGUGUAAUCUUGGGGCUUAACUCUGAGCGUGCUUUCGAUACGGGUUGACUUGAGGAAGGUAGGGGAGAAUGGAAUUCCUGGUGGAGCGGUGGAAUGCGCAGAUAUCAGGAGGAACACCAGUGGCGAAGGCGGUUCUCUGGGCCUUUCCUGACGCUGAGGAGCGAAAGCGUGGGGAGCGAACAGGCUUAGAUACCCUGGUAGUCCACGCUGUAAACGGUGGGUACUAGGUGUGGGGUCCAUUCCACGGGUUCCGUGCCGUAGCUAACGCUUUAAGUACCCCGCCUGGGGAGUACGGCCGCAAGGCUAAAACUUAAAGGAAUUGACGGGGUCAUAGCUGUUUCCU
rnacentral:rRNA from 1 species